rnacentral:tRNA from 1 species
GAGGGCAUAACUCAGUGGUAGAGUGCAUGCUUAGCAUGCAGGAGGUCCUGGGUUCAAUCCCCAGUACCUUCU